rnacentral:rRNA from 1 species
ACGCUCGACACCUACGGGAGGCAGCAGUGGGGAAUAUUGCACAAUGGGGGAAACCCUGAUGCAGCGACGCCGCGUGAGCGAAGAAGUAUUUCGGUAUGUAAAGCUCUAUCAGCAGGGAAGAUAAUGACGGUACCUGACUAAGAAGCUCCGGCUAAAUACGUGCCAGCAGCCGUGGUAAUCUGAGCGGGCUGGCAAGGC